AUAUUCAAAAUGGAAAUAAAAUAAUAUACAGAAGUUUUCCGAAAUAACGAAUAUUUGUUUUAAUGAAAACCGCUUAUAACGAACAAGCAAAUUUGUUACAUUGAGUACCGUAAAUAACGAACAUCGGGGAUUUGUAAAGCGCCAAAUACACGACACGAACAUUUCCGCGAACAUUCCCGUUAUGUCAUGUUUCUGCGAACUUUUCUGUCGUGUAUGGUGGUGUUUGCCAGUUCACGCAAAUGUUCGCCAAAAAUCAAAAUAUUUUAAUUUUUGGCGAACUGUUCGUGCGUGUAUGGCGAAAUAGCUCAUAAUCGUAGUAAUUUCUGAACGGAACAGACGUGCUCGGAAAAGUAAAAUGGACAAUAAAAAAUUUCUGAGUGAAUUUAUUGAAAUGUAUAAAUCUUUGCCAUCAUUGUGGCAAGUAAAAAGCAAAGAUUCUCUCUUUUUUCUACGCUUAAUUGCCACAGCGAGCAAUAUUGCUGCAGCACAAUUGUUGUCCGUAUUCAUCGCUGUCUGAAAGAGAACUAAUGUUCGGCCAAAAGUUCGUAUGGUGUGUGGCCAAAGCUGCGAACAAAAUUGCGGAAUGUUCGCGGAAAUGUUCGUGUCGUGUAUUUGGCGCUUAAUGUGCUGAACACAUAGAAGACGACAAGCGACGAGCGACAUCUGUCAAAUAUUAAAAUACACGCGUUCUUAUGGGCACAGAUUUUUUGACAACAGCACGACUUCACGACAAAAGGGUUGAAGUCUUCGCUGUUGCCAAAUUAGAAAUGUUUCUAAUUUUGCCGACGACAAUGGCCGCUGUAGAGCUGCCACUAAUAUGUGAAAUGUAAAAUUAUUCAAAGUUCUAACAAGUAUGACGUUAUUUUGCCAGCAGAAGCGUAAAAUAGCUUUGAUAUAUCAUUUAUAAUAACAAUGGAUUAUUUAAAGCAAAUAAAUCGAUAUAUUUUUACAUUUUUUUCAAAAAAAAUUUCAUUUUAAUCUAAAUAUGUAAAUUUUAUUGAAGUGAAAGAUUUUCGUACGGCAACAAUGAAAUUCCUAUUUGAUAUGUCGCUGCCGUCUUCAAAAUGUUCACGACGCUGGCUUCAAAGCGACAUUUGUGAUCAGCCGUCGCUACGUCGUGUCGUGUCGUCGUCUUUGUGUUCAGCACUUAUGUAAUCAGUUCAACGAACAACAUAAGGAAGACAUAUGAUGAAGGAGAAAAAAUUAAUUCGUAGGAAAAACAGUAAACAAAACGAAACAUGGAAAAAAUAAACAAUUACAAUAUCAACGUCUUUCAGUUCCAAUUAAGUGUUGAGCAUGUGCGCAGUGAAAAAAAGAGUGCAAGAAAAUGAUUAAACUUGAAGGAAAAACUUCAAAUUAUUGAUCAGCACAAUAAAGGUGCACGCGUUUCUGAAUUGUGUAAAAUAUUAAAAUUAAAAGCGUCAACCGUUUCGACAAUACUAAAAAAUAAGGAAAAACUUUUAAAAAAUGUUGAAAUGCUGAGCUGCAGCUACAAAAAGAAAGCAUUCAGGAAUGGCGAAUUUCCUGAAAUGAAAGAAAAACUAUUUUCAUGGUUUUUAAGGCAGCGGAAUUGCCAUAUUCCCAUAAGCGGAGUUGCGUUGCAGCAUCAAGCAAAGAUUUUGCACCACGAAUUGUAUGGGAAUAAUUUUAGUGCCAGCCAUGGGUGGCUGACUCGUUUUAAAGAAAGACAUGGAAUCCGGCUCCUUAAACAAAGUGGCGAGAGACUUUCAUCGAACGUGGUGCUUGUUGAACCUUUUAAAAAAACAUUCAUGAAUGUUUUAUCACAAAAUAAUCUAACACAAGAUGCGAUAUUUAAUGCUGACGAAACAGGACUACUUUGGAAGAAUUUACCCGAUAAAACCUAUGUACACUCUGCAGAGAAAACAGCGGCAGGGAGAAAAAUAUCCAAGGAGAGAGUGACUGUCCUUUUAUGCAGCAAUGCAAGUGGCACAAAAAGGCUAAGGCUUUUAGUGAUUGUCAAAUCUCAAAAUCCUCGAGCGUUUCGGAACAAAGAACUUACUCUAAAAAUGCAUGGAUGACAAGUUUCAUAUUUAAAAAUUGGUUCUUCCAAAAGUUUGUCCCUCAGGUAGAAUAUUUUCUUGCUGAAAGAAAUUUGCCGUUAAACGCAUUAUUAAUUUUGGACAAUGCGCCGUCUCACCCCCGGCUGAUGAAUUAAUUAAAGAAACUGUUGGUGGCAAAAUAUGGGUACUGUAUAUGCCUCCAAAUGUUACCCCACUAAUACAACCGAGGGACCAAAAUGCAAUUAGAUUAGUAAAACUACAUUAUAAGAACAGUCUUUUGUCCAGGCUUUUUGCAAAUAAGGGAGGGGAUGUUAUUGCAUUUUUUGAAGGCUUUUACGCUUUAUGAUGCUGUGACAGCAUUAUCUUUGGGAUGGAAAUCUAUAUCUGAAACAACUUUAAGUAAAUGCUGGAAUAAGCUACUUAAAGAAGAUCGUCACUUUGAUGAAGAGGAUGAUCUUCCUAUUUCGUCUUUCCUAAGGCAAGAUGAAGACACUUUGGCAAUGAUAAAUGGAGUUAAAUUACUAAAUUCGGUUUUUCCAAAUGUAAGUAACGUUAAGUUUUAUGCUUCCUUUUAUUUUAAAUAUUUCGAACAAUGUAUUCUGUGGGCAAAGCAGAACAAUAUCGAUAUCACAAAACUUAUUGUAUUGACUGAGCUUCAGGAAGAAGCCAUCAAAUGCAAUAUUCGUAUUCCAACGAAGCAAACGAAGAUUGAUAAAUUUUUUAAAUAGGUAUAAUUUUCUAUAGCUAUACUAAUGUACAAAUACUUUGAUCUCAUAAAACGUGAAUUUAUUUUUAAGCACAGUACUUCCGUUAAGGUAACUUGCAUAAGCUCUUUCAAUUGUUCCUUUAUCUCUAUAUAUAAAAAUGAAACCCUUUUUCCGGUGUCACGACAUAGCAUGAAAACGGCAGGACCGAUUUCACUGAUUCUUUUUUUGUGUGUAUUCCAGGAAGAUUGAGGAUGGUUCUUACGGAGAAAAAUUUAAAAAAAAUUGCUUGAAAAAGUCUAAAAUUCACAUUUUUCUAAACUCCCAUACAAACAAUUUGUUUUCUAUGGAUAUAACAUGUAAGGAAAGGCUAAGUUCGGGUGCAACCGAACAUUUUAUACUCUCGCAAUUUAUUGAAGAAAUUUAACCAAUAAAUUUCUCACCGUAUUUUUGAAAAACCUAUAUGUAAUUAGGUAUCACCAUACCAAAUUUCAUCAAAAUCCAUUCAGCCGUUUAGGCGUGAAAGAGUAACACACAGACAGAGUUACUUUCGCAUUUAUAAUAUUAAUAUGGAUUUUGUUUGUUUAUUUAGUGUUUCUGACGUUUUUCGUUAGUUAGUUAACCCACUUUUAGUAAUUUUCAACCUAACCUUUGUAUGGGAAGUGGACUUGGUUAUUAUCUGAUUUCUUUCAUUUUUGGACUGUAUUAAGAAGUGGCUAAAAAAAACGACUGCAGAAAGUUUGGUUUAUAUAGCUCUAUUGGUUUCGGAGAUAUGUACAAAAAACUUAUUUGGGGGCGGGGCCACGCCCACCUCCCCAAAAAAAUUACAUCCAAAUAUGACCCUUCAUAGUGCGAUCCUUCAUACUAAAUUUAAUUUCCAUAGCUUUAUUUAUGGCUUAGUUAUGGCACUUUAUGUGUUUUCGGUUUUCGCCAUUUUGUGGGCGUGGCAGUGGUCCGAUUUUGUUCAUUUUCGAAAGCAACCUUCCUAUGGUGCCAAGAAAUAAGUGUGUCAAGCUUCAUUAAGAUAUCUUAAUUUUUACUCAAGUUACAGCUUGCACAGACGGACGGACAGACAGACAUUCGGAUUUGAACUCCACUCUUCACCCCGAUCACUUUGGUAUAUAUAACCAUAUAUCUAACUCGUUUAGUUUUGGGUGUUACAAACAACCGUUAUGUGAACAAAACUAUAAUACUCUUUAGCAACUUUGUUCCGGGAGUAUAAAAAUUGGCUCCAUCGGACUACUAAGACCUAUAGCUCCUAUAUAACAGUAAUUGCCAUUAUAUGGCAAUGAUGCGCAAAAAUACUUCUCAUGGUCAUUGUGGGAGCGUCAAAACUUUCAGUAAGGCUUUGUAAAAAAAAUUUGAGAAGCGAUACACAAGCUGAAUAUAAUUUAUCGUUAUACAUAGUUUCCCAUCCAACCCCCACAUUCAACCUAUAAGAAUAAUAUCAUAUAAAACAAGUAAGGAAGGGCUAAAUUCGGGUGUAACCGAACAUUUUAUACUCGCAAUUUAUUUAUUUAAUAUUAUAUAAUACACAAUUUGACCCACAUAUUCGUCAUAUAUAUUGUAUAAAGUCCAUUGAAAGUUGGAAACCAUAAUAUUAGGUUAGAAGCAACGAGGUCCUCGUGUUCGAUAUAUGGGGCCUUAAAAACCUAUGGUCCGAUUUCGGCGAUUUUUAGAAUGGGGCUGCCACACUAUUAACAUAGUAUUUGUGCAAAGUUCUGCACCGAUAUCUUCACUAGUGCUUACUUUAUAUAUUGUAAAUAAACGAUUCAGAUUGUCUUCAAAGUUCUGGUAUAUAGGAUGUAGGCGUGGUUGUGAAGCGAUUUGGCCUAUUUUCACAACAUAUCAUUGGGAUGUAAAGAAACUAUUACAAACCAAGUUUCAUUGAAAUCGGUCGAGUAGUGCCAGAGAUAUGGGGCCUCAUGCAUAAAACGUGAGCUUGAGCUCGGACUCGCUUUUUUAAGUAAAAGGUGCUUGUCGUAUGCAUAAUAAAAUUGGAUGUGUUUGCUUUUACUCGCUGAUUCCGUUUGAUCUCAUCGUGCUCAGUAUGAACGAAGUUAGAUGAGCUAGUGCUCAUUUUCAUAUGCAUAAAAACAAGCUUUUGCUUUCUUUUGUGAGCUCUUGCUCAAAUUUUGUUGAGGCUGCCUUAUAGUUGACUCGCGUACACUAAAAAGGAAUCAUGCCUGAAUAUUUUGUGCCACAAAGAAAUAUAAAAUGUUAUCAACAGCGUAAAACAAAUUUAACAAGUGAGGAUAAAAAAUUAUAUAGGUUUGUAUUCUUAAUUAUUAAUUUUUUUUAUUAUAUAAUUAAUAAUAAAAUGAUAAAUACAUAGGUUUGAUGACACUAGCAUCUGUUGGUUGGCUUAUUAUUUUUUUGAGAAGUCAGAAGAAACACUUAGUGAUGCCCUCAGUAACAUUGAUAACAUUUGACUAUAUUUAAUAUUUUGUGCAGAUCCUGGAUUCCAAAAUGGUAUAACCUCAAAAUUGCAUAGUAAUGUUCAAAUCCGGAUAUCUGUCUGUCUGUCCGUCCGCGCAAACUGUAACUUGAGUAAAAAUAGUCACAUAUCUUCCUGAAAUUAGUAGACGUGUUUUUUGGCACUAUAUGAAGAUUGAUUUCGUCCACAAAAUGGCGAUUGAUUUCGUCCCGAAAAGGCAUAAAGUGCCAUAACUAAGCCAUAAAAUAAGCUAAAAUUAGGUAGAAAGGAUCGCGCUGUAAAGGGGCAUAUUUGGAUGUAAUUUUUGUACAUAUCUCGUAAACUACAUACAAAAGCUAUAUCAACCAAACUCUCUAAAACCAUUUCUUUUAAUCGGAUUAUAACCACGCCCACCUCCCAUGCAAAGGUUAUGUUGAAAACUACUAAAAAUGCUUUAAUAGGAAAGGAAAAGUAAGGAAAAACCCCAGAAACCUGAAAUUUCGUUAUAAAGAUGGUACAUAAAAGCUGCACUCAAAUUGGAAUACAAAAGUUCAAAUUGGCUCCUCCCACAAACCCAUACGACAGAAACUAAUCCACCAAUUUCAAUGAAAUUCGGUUCAUAAUAUAUUCCAGCCAUCCCAAUAAUAUGUUGUGAAAAUAGGCCAAAUCGGUUCAUAACAACGCCUACUUCCUAUAACCAGAACUGUGAAGUCAAUCUGAAUCGUCGGGUCAUAACUUCAGCUAGCUUCCAUGUACCUAAUAUUAAGGUUUCCAACUUUCAAUGUACUUUAUACCAUAUAUAUGACGAAUAUGUGAGUCAAAUUGUAUGUUAUAGUAAUAAAAUUAAAUGAUUAAUCGGAAUUUAGAGAGUAUAAAAUGUUCGGUUACACCCGAACUUAAUGCAUUCCCCGUUAAUUGAAUGCCCAAUUUUUGCUCAAUUUCUUUUACACAUGUUUCUAGUGUAUGUUUAUUUUAUUUUUAAUGCUUGGUAAUUGACCUUUUUCUAGCAAAUAUUUAUUUUGUUUUAGUUUUUCUACUAAAAAUUUAGAAAUGUCGUAAGUUUCUAUUUUAUUAUUAUUAUUUGAUCCUACUUCUACUUCACUUUCACUUGACGACACGUUUGCACUUCUAUAACAUUAGAUGUUUGAUCUCCCUUUGCUCAAGUAAUUGCAAUUGGUUUGAACUCAUUUUUAUGCAUACGAAAUUGAGCAAAAGCUGUUGCUGUUCGAUCGAACUCGACUUACGAGCAAUUGCUCACAUGCCUCAACUCAGCGCUUUUACUCGUUUUUAUGCAUGAGACCCAUUGUUUUUGACCCAUAAGUGGGCGACGCCACGCCCAUUUUCCAUUUUGUAAAAAAAUCUGAGUGCAGCUUUCAUCUGCCAUUUCUUAUGUGAAAUUUAGUGUUUCUGACGUUUUUCGUUAGUAAGUUAACCCACUUUUAGUAAUUUUCAACCUAACUUUUGUGUGGGAGGUGGGCGUGAUUAUUAUCCGAUUUCUUUCAUUUUUGGACUGUAUUAGGAAGUGGCUAAAAAAAACGACUGCAGAAAGUUUGGUUUAUAUAGCUUUAUUAGUUUGCGAGUUAAAUACAAAUAACCGAUUUGUGGGCGGGGCCACGCCCACUUCCCCAAAAAAAUUACAUACAAAUAUGCCCCCUCUUAGUGCGAUCCCUUAUUUCAAAUUUUACUUUUAUAUCUUCAUUUAUGGCUUAGUUAUGACACUUUAUGUGUUUUUGGUUUUCGCCAUUUUGUAGGCGUGGCAAUGGUCCGAUUCUGUCCAUUUUCGAACUUGAUCUUCUUAUGGUGCCAAGGAAUAUGUGUGCGAAGUUUCGUAAAGAUAUCUUAAUUUUUACUCAAGUUACAGCUUGCGCAGACGGACAGACAGACAGACGGACGGACGGACAGACAUCCGGAUUUCAAAUCUACUCGUCAUCCUGAUCACUUUGGUAUAUAUGACUCUAUAUCUAACUCUUUUAGUUUUAGGUGUUACAAACAACCGUUAUGUGAACUAAACUAUAAUACUCUCGUAGCAACUUUUGUUGCAAUAGUAUAAAAACGAAUUGCUGUUCGUUAGUCUCGCAAAAAGUCGAGAACUGCCACACCAAUCUGGCUAAUUUUAGUCUUGAAAUAUUCUAGCAUAGCCAAGAAAAUAUAGAAAAAUUGCGCGGAAGAUUGCAAUAACAGAACUUUAUAUGAGUUGACAACAAAAUUAAAAAAAAAUAGAAAACAAAAAAUAAUAAUCUUUAGAAGGUAGUAAUUUUUGCUUAGUUAAAAUAUUUUUGUCAUUGUUCAGUUGUAUAAGGUUGUGUCGAUAGCCCAAAACAAUUUGUAACAAGUAAGGAAAGGCUAAGUUUGGGUGCAACCGACUAUACUCUCGGAAUUUAUUGAUGUACCCAUAUAUUCAUAAAGAAGAAUAGAACAUGAAAAUCAUCAUAUAUUGUAUAUGAGGACCAUAGUAAUUCCUGAACCGAUUUUACUCAUUUUCACCAUCAAAGCAUAACGGGAAUAGGGGCAGCUUGGCAACCUGUUAGUAGGCAUACAAACUGUACAUUCGGCAUUGAAAUUACUCCUAAAAUGCAAAUCAACGAAACACCAGUUUGCAAAAUCGCCAAAAAUAGCGCUAUAGCGAAAAUUUUCCAGAUAUGCAAGUUGAUAAUUUGGGAAGUACGGCGCAUAAAAAAUCGCUUAUUUAUACAUACAAGUGUUUUUGCAACAAGAUCAAACUGCGAUUGUAGAAGGAGUUGCUAGAUAUUGGAAUUGGUAAGCUCACAGUUGACACCUCGAUGGAUUAAUAACAUUUUAAACACAUUUCUGUCUCUUCUGUCUCUUUCCGGACAAAAAACAACAAUAUAAUACCCACAAUUGGCUGAGUGAACGACCAAUAUUGGUCGCAAAAAACAAAGAUGUCGUCGAAGUCAAUGCGACAAUUUAGAAUUUCGUUACAGGAGAGCUGACACAGAUACAAAUUAGGAUGACGUAGCCAACUAUCCCAAAGGAUUUUUAUAAUCCUUGAAAUUGCCUGGAUUAUCACCACUUAAUUUUACAUUUAAAAGUAGCAUAAGUUGUCAUCAUGCUGUCUAACAUAAAUCAACCUCGACUUUGUAAUGAACUUUGUGUCGUCAUCGAAGCCAAGAUUGAUUGUAUAUCUUUGCCACAAAACGUGUGGCCGGGUCUGCUAGUUUUUGAUAAAUAAUUCAAUAAAACAAUGUAUUAAACUGCAAUUUUCAGAUAUUUUACUCACAAAACAUUACUCAAAAAGUGAGUAUUCGAAUUAAUGAAAAAUUCGAUAUAACGAACAGGCCUGACAAUUAAUGUGUUCGUUAUUUCGGAAAACCGCUGUAUAUAAAAGCAUUGUAUUUUGUGUUCAUCAUGCAUGCGUACAAUCCCACAAUACAUCUUGCUCGCUGUGAAGUCAGCAAGCAGAGAUAAAGAGAUGUACAACUCUCAUCUCACUGGAAUUGAGAGCGCAAUAUCAAACGUCAAAACCACCUAAACUUUGACAGUUUGUCGAGAUGAGGAGGUUUUGACGUUGCGCAAUUGGAAAAGAGGGACGGCCAUAUUGAAAUGUUGCCAAAAAAUAAUGCGACGGAGACAUUUAUAACCGCCGUGCAAGAUCACUUAUUAGAACUUAAGACAAUAAAUAUAAAAGGAAUCGCGAAAUUUUAAGGUAUUUGAAAAAAUGAUUUGUGAUCUGCAGCAGCGAGAUUUUAGUUUUCCAUGGAAAAAAAUAUUAUUUGCCAGUUGAUACGUAUUGAUUUACUUUAUUUACCACUGAAAGUUUGAAAACCGGUUGGUUUAAUAUACCAUAAUAUCACUAACCGAGAUUUAAAUAGUUAUUAUUUAUAUUAAUCGUUAAGUGUAAAAUAAUUAUUAGCCGUAAUAAAUGUUGGGUAUUUUAAUUUAAAUGCCCAAAAAUUUGUAUUUUGUCUGAUCUGGUAAUAAUGCAAAAUGUUAUAAAAAACGCAAAUUUUGAGGCGCUCUCACACUGGAAUAAGUUGGACAUCCCUUUAUCCCUGUCAGCAAGCAACUGACCUGAAAUCGUCUAUGGCAGUGAUCGGCAGCCCAUUGCCCGCGGAGCGCUCUCUGAGCGCACACUGAAGUGCUGAACACAAAUACGACGACACGACACGACGUAGCGAUGGCUGAUCACAAAUGUCGCUUUGAAGCCAGAAUCUUGAACAUUUUGAAGACGGCAGCGACAUAUCAAACAGCAAUUUCAUUGUUGCCGUACUAAAACCUUUCAUUUCAAUAAAAUUUACAUAUUUAGUUUAAAGUGAAAUUAUCAUACUUGUUAGAACUUUGAAUAAUUUUACAUUUCACAUAUUAGUGGCAGCUCUACAGCGGCCAUUGUCGUCGGCAAAAUUAGAAACAUUUCUAAUUUGGCGACAGCGAAGACUUCAACCCUUUUGUCGUGAAGUCGUGCUGUUGUCAAAAAAUCUGUGCCCAUAAGAACGCGUGUAUUUUAAUAUUUGACAGAUGUCGCUCGUCGCUUGUCGUCUUCUAUGUGUUCAGCACAUGAGUCUACGAGUGAAACACACGUACUUGCAAUCAUUUUUACACCAUAGACGCGAUGUCAGGUCAGUUGCUUUGACAGUUGAUUGGAUGGAGGAGGUUUUGACGUUUAGCGAUUGGAAAACUAGAACGGCCAGAUUGAAAUGUUGCCAAAAAAAAUUAUACGGAGGAGACAUUUUUAACCGCUGUGCAAGCUCACUAAUAAGAACAUAAAAUAAUAAAUAUAAAUGAAAACGCGAAAUUUAAAAGUGGUUAAAAUUUUUUUUGUGAUUUGCAACAUCGACAAUGUCAUGAAAAAGAUGUGUUAAUUGUCAUUUGAGAAAUAUUAAUUAACCUUAUUUCUUACUGAAAGUUCGAAAAUCGGCUAUUUUAACUUUCCAUUAUAUCGCUAAAUAAAAUAUAAAACGUACAUUUUAUAUUAAACAUUCAGUAAAAAUAAUUUUUAAUAAAAUUUGGAUAUUUUAAUUAAAAUGCCCAAAAAUUAGUAUUUUAGCUGAUCUGGUAACAAUGCGAAAUGUUAUAAAAAACGCAAAUUUUGAGGCGCUCUCACACUGGAAUAAGUUGGACAUCCCCUUAUCCCUGUUAACAGCGAGCAGGACGUAUGGUGGAUUGUACGCACGCAUGUAUGAACACAAAAGACAAUGCUUUUACAUAUAUUAUUAUAUUUCUAUUUAGAUUAUUAAUUUUUUUUUUAUUAUUUUUGCAAGUCAGUUCAUAAAAAGACAACGAUUAAUUCUCCAACUUUAUUCGCCAUUUAAAAUGUUUGUAAUAUAAUUAAUAAUUGUGUGUUUAACUCGAAGUAGUACUAUCGAUUUUUGUUUUGCAAAAAAUGUAAUUUACAUAAAGUUUACUGCUUUAUAAUGUUUUCAUACACAUUACGCAGUAAAAACAAUUGAUUGUAUGUGUUAAGCUAACGUACACUAUAAAAAUUAUUGUUAGGUAACCAGUAUUGGUCCUAAUUUCCCCAGUUCUAAAAAGGUACGGGACCAGUAGAACAGAACUCUUGGUCAUUUGAGUAGCUCUCAACACGCAUACACUCUCACAAAAUAAAUUGUUUGAUUGUAUAAGUUUGCCGACCACUGGUCUAUGGUGUAAAAAUGAUUCCAAGUACGUGUGUUUCACACGUGUGCGCUCAGAGAGUGCUCCGCUGGCAAUGGGCUGCAGAUCACUGAUCUAAAGCAGUGGUCGGCUCGAGAGGAGUUGUGAUUGUGUAAUGUGCUGAACACAUAGAAGACGACAAGCGACGAGCGACAUCUCUCAAAUAUUAAAAUACACGCGUUCUUAUGGGCACAGAUUUUUUGACAACAGCACGACUACGCGACAACAGGCUUGUAGUUGCCGCUAAAUUAAAAAAGUUUCUAAUUUUGGCGACGACAAUGGGCAGUUGUAGAGUUGCCACUAAUAUGUGAAAUGUAAAAAUAUUAAAAGUUAUAACAAAUAUGACGUUAUUUUGCCAGCAGAAACGUAAAAUAGCUUUAUUUAUAAUAACAAUCGAUUAUUUAAAACAAAUAAAUCGACCAUUUUUACAUUUUUUGCACAAAUAAUUUUACUUUAAACUAAAUAUGUAAAUUGUAUUGAAAUGAAAGGUUUUAGUACGGUAACAAUGAAAUUGCUGUUUGAUAUGUCGCUGCCGUCUUCAAAAUGUUCAAGACGCUGGCUUCAAAGCGACAUUUGUGAUCAGCCGUCGCUACGUCGUGCCGUGUCGCCGUCUUUGUGUUCAGCACUUCAGUGAGCACGAAAUUAUGAACAGCCAGUGAGAACUCUGUAGCCUAACAUUUUAAGAAUGUUUUUCAUUUCUUCAUAAAACGUGCAUUUUUGUGCUCAUUUUUUCAUUUUAAAUAUUUUAUUAUUAAAACAAAUAUAUUAUGUCAUAAAAGUCUUAACAUUACUGUCUUUAAACAGCUUAAAACCUUAAAUAUAAUACAUAACAUCAAAACAUUAAGACAUUUCGCACAGGGCACUUAAACAAAGUGCCACAGCCAUGCGCGAUGUUUAUUCGUUGCUGGUUCGGCAAGGACUGAACCAAGAAUGAUAGAAGACAAGAUUACGACAGGCGUUUACAGUUAGCUUUUUUGGGUUUUGAGUUCCUGUUGAGUGACAACUUUCACGACCCCGAACACGCGAGCAAAACAAAAUUGCACGGUGGUACAAAACAAUAAAACCAAAACAAAGAGCUGACGUCAAGGCUAGUACUUAAUUAUUAUUUAAAAUUCUAAGUGAAAAAUGUAUUAACUUGAAAAAGAAGUCCGCAAUGGCGGAAUUAAACAACAAUAGUACAAAAAAGUCGUAUAUAAAGAUUUUUUUUCACUUUUCCAACCAACAAAAAAGUUGGCAAAAUGGCGAACUUUUUGUAACAAAACAUAUAAUUUUAAUUAUAAAUAUGCAUUAUUAUAUUGGAUCAUUUUAUAAAUGAAGAUUUUAAGAAUUACGUUCAUUGUGAUAUUUAGCGUACGUGUGAUGUGCUGAACACAUAGAAGACGACAAGCGACGAGCGACAUCUGUCAAAUAUUAAAAUACACGCGUUCUUAUGGGCACAGAUUUUUUGACAACAGCUCGACUACGAGACACAGGCUUGUAGUUGUCGUUGUCGCCAAAUUAGAAAUGUUUCUAAUUUUGCCGACGACAAUGGCCGCUGUAGAGCUGUCACUAACAUGUAAAAUGUAAAAUUAUUCAAAGUUCUCACAAGUAUGACGUUAUUUUGCCAUCAGAAACGUAAAAUAGCUUAUAUAUAUUAUUUAUAAUAACAAUCAAUUAUUUAAAACAAAUAAAUCGCCAAUUUUUAAAUUUUUUGCGUAAAUUAUUUCACUUUAAACUAAAUAUGUAAAUUUUAUUGAAGUGAAAGACGUUAGUACGGCAACAAUGAAAUUGCUGUUUGAUAUGUCGCUGUCGUCUUCAAAAUGUUCAAGACGCUGGCUUCGAAGCGACAUUUGCGACAGUGCCGACCACUGACCUAAAGUAAAGCCACAAAACCCUUUAAAAUUCGUGUCAAGCGGUGGCAUCCUAAAGAAUGACUACUCCUCGUAGACAAUGUGACGGCACUCCAUCUCGUAUCGUAAAGGACCAAAACUGGUCUAUGUGAGGCUUAUUGGCCUCCCAGUGUAACCUAAUAUACCCAGUGUACAUAGAAUUCUUUGAAUUAAGCAACGGUAGGAAAUUUUAAAUUGCCUAACUCGUUUAUUAAAAUUUCAUCACCCCUAAUCUUUAAAAAUUACAUUAAAUAUUUAAUAAAUAUAUUAUUAGGCGUGUUUUAUUUGACCAGCAAAUUAAGCUAUUAGCUUAUUUUGUAUGAAAGGCUUAGCCAACAUAAUUAUGUUGGCUUGUCAUAAGCUAUCAUAGCUUGUAUAUUGAACUAGAGGCAUUGCCAGUUCAUCGCUUUUUUCAUUCACAACAGUUUGGUAUUUUCCAAAAACAAGUAGUUGGCAAUAGCGAGAAACCCCAUUUUGACAGAUAAAAAUUUAAACAAACCAAAAUUUUAAAUUCUAUCGGUGUGCAAAAUGGCAAAUAAAAAGUUUAUCCAUAUUUAUUUUGACCAUCCCGGAUCUAAUAAUGAUUGUAGAUUCCUUAAAAGAUCCGAAUUUUAUAAAAAAGCGGUAAACAAAAAGAAAUUUAAUUUAUAAAUUCAACCUUUUUUUUUUUCAAUAAAUGACGUUUAACCCUGGAAUGGUUACCGCCUGUGAGGCGCAGAAUUUUUUUUUUUUUUUUGCAAUAUUUCCUGAUCGUUCACUCGUAUUAAGACGUGCGCUCGUGCCAACUCAGUUGAGUGUUGUACGAGCUUGGGCACAGACGUAUUUUGUUUUGCUGCGUUGCGUUGGUUAUAUAUAUAGAUACGUGUGUCGCCUCUGAGGCGAAGUUUACCAAUAAAGUUUUUAGAGAUGGCUCCUCCUGAUGUGCAGUUACUCAAAUGGCUGGAGGAGAUAUCGCUUGAUGGAAGUGAACUUGAUGACGAUUUGGGUGUAGAUAUCGAUUCAGAUGAUAGUGUGGCUGAACCCACUUACGUCGAUGAUUUCGACGACGACAUGCAGUAUAUUGAUGUAUCUAAUGAAAAUGAUGCGUAUAUUUCUGCGCAAAAUGCAAGAAAACUUAUUGCUUAGAGCACAGAUCACCAAAUUGUUGGCAAUGUGAUGUUAAAAAGUAGGUGGAAGAACCACAAACUUUAUUUUGUCUUGCAGAAUUUAUUUUAAGUUUUAAUAUUUAUAAUAUUUUUUAAUAUGUUAAUUAGAUAUAAGGUCUACAAGACACUGAAGUUUAUUUUUUGAUUUCAAACUGUUUUUUUAAUUUUUUAUAUUUUUUUUUUUGUAAAAGAUCUAUUCAUACUACUGAUAAAAUAUGUGAUCUAUAAAUGUUGUCAAUAAUAUAUUUAAGAUAUUUAAAAAAUUAAUUGUUUUUUGUUUAUUUUUAUAACCAAGCAUGUAAUAUAUACGUUUUUGUUUUUGUUUUAAUAAAUUUUUGUUUUGUUAAGGGUAAAAUGUGGGUUUUUUAUAAGAGUCGCCUCACAGGCGAAGAUUACCAUUAAAGAGCAAAAGCAUACAUAUGUUUACCAUUCUAGGGUUAAGCUGAGAGUUCAGGCCCGCACUGCCAACACAAGUCAUUUGUAAGCGAAGAUAUGAAAUAAGUUAAAUGCGUUUUAUUUGUCCAUGAUUUAGCUACUUGCUUGUGGUGGUAAAAUAAAACACGCUUCCCAGUAAAAAAUCCGAUCAUCAAAAGAUUAAUCUUAGAUCGCUCCUUUUCGAGCCAUGGAUUACUCCACAUUGCUCAGAGACUCAUGCAUUUAUUACACCUUUUUAACAUUGCAUGUCCUUACGAGGGAUCACUCCUUUUAAACUCCAAAUGGAGUGCAAACCGAGCAUUCUUUUGAGCUCUUUUUGACCUCCGAAACGAGAGCAGAGGGAGUAAUCUUCUUUAUCUCCAGAAAGAGUACGAAAAAGAGCAGAAAUCCGACACACAAAAAUAUAAACAGUGUUGUAAAUAGUUGAAAAUUUUUAUUAAUUUCUUCAUUUUUAAGAUAUAAGAAAUAGUAAUUCACUUAACAGAAAUAGUUAUGAUAUUUCAAAAUAAUGUUAAGAGUGGGUAAAUAAUAGACGUAAUUUUCAUAUUUACGAAGUGUUGAAGUCGGAGCAGAUUUUAGUGAAUUUCACGGUUUUGAUUUUAAAGUCAACAAAUGAUGUAAAAUUUUCUUUAACGGAUUUUUUUAAUCAGCUCUUCUGGUAAGUAAAGCUCUUACGUCUGAAGGCUUUGAUGGACCAAUAUACUCAGUUUUAGCAGUUUAUUAUGAAUUCAACUUUUUUAUGUACAAUUAUUAUAAAUAGGAGUUUCACUCUGAUUAUUCAAAUGCAUUAAUAUCACAAUUUCUUUUGGUUUCGACGCCUUUUCAUAAGAAGCUUCUCGAUAACUGGUAGACUUUUUUUAAAUUUAUUUUUUCACUAAUUGUCUUAAGAAUAAAUAUAUUCACAUAUUUUUUAUAAAUAAUUAACACAUUUAUACUAUAAUUUAUCACUUUUUGCCCGUAUAACAACUUUAUACAAAUAUUCGCGAAAAUUUAUUCACGUUGACGCGUUGUUUGCAAAAUUCAAACUAAUUUAAAUUGACAAUAUACGCUUUUCUAGAACAUAAAAGAAUUUCACAACAAUUAACAGUUAUGAUUAGGCGUUACGCUUUAUCUUUUAUCAUAAACCUCGUUUUUUCAUCCAAAAUGUAUCAAAAAGCGAGGAAACAAACGAUUUAUGUAAAAACUAACGAAAAUGGCUUUAUUGCUCACUUAAUGCUCGAAAUGGAUGAACCUCCUUUAUUACUCGAUUUUGGUAUUAAUCCAAAGAUUUUUUACUGGGUUAUUAAUAAAUUGAUAAAUAUUAUAUUUCACAAAAUACUUAUAUUGUACCGAAGAAAACGAGCUUAAAUAAUUAAAACAUACAAGAUUGUAAGUAACGUAAUGUACAUGCAUUAUAUAUGCAUUAAUAUGCAACAAGCAUACAUUAAGCUGAAACUACAAAGCUCGCGUAUGCGAAUGCUAAAAAAUGCGAUUGACUGCAUAUACAGUAUACUCUCGAAAAGUAAAUUCUCAAAAAGUAAAUAAUCGCGGAAAAGUUAAUCACCUUUAAGAUUACACAUGCACCCCGAAAAAGUAAAUUUUUUAAUUUACUUUUCAGAGAGUGUGAUAAAAAAUUCGAAACGAAGCAAGCAGCGUUUUUUACGAUGUUGCAAAAACACUUACUCUCUUGUUUAUCGCGUUUUUUAGUAAAUAAACUCUCCUACUUGAUCCACUGGUUUAAAAAUGAAAACGAUGCAAAUCAGGUGUCAGGCUUUUUGAAUUGUCGUACAAAAAUGGUCAGAAAAUAUAUUGCAAAAGAAAAAAACAAAAAAUAUUCAAGAUUUUUUCUCUUUAUAGUAAAUA